GACGAACGCUGGCGGCGUGCUUAACACAUGCAAGUCGAGCGGUAAGGCCCUUUCGGGGGUACACGAGCGGCGAACGGGUGAGUAACACGUGGGUGACCUGCCCUCAGCUCUGGGAUAAGCCUGGGAAACUGGGUCUAAUACCGGAUAUGACUCCAUGACGCAUGUUGUGGGGUGGAAAGCCUUGUGCGGCUGAGGAUGGGCCCGCGGCCUAUCAGCUUGUUGGUGGGGNGAUGGCCUACCAAGGCGACGACGGGUAGCCGGCCUGAGAGGGCGACCGGCCACACUGGGACUGAGACACGGCCCAGACUCCUACGGGAGGGCAGCAGUGGGGAAUCUUGCGCAAUGGGCGAAAGCCUGACGCAGCGACGCCGCGUGAGGGAUGACGGCCUGGUGUAAC
rnacentral:rRNA from 1 species